GUGCCAGCAGCUGCGGUAAUACGUAGGUGGCAAGCGUUGUCCGGAUUUAUUGGGCGUAAAGCGAGCGCAGGCGGUUUUUUAGGUCUGAUGUGAAAGCCUUCGGCUUAACCGGAGAAGUGCAUCGGAAACCGGGAGACUUGAGUGCAGAAGAGGACAGUGGAACUCCAUGUGUAGCGGUGAAAUGCGUAGAUAUAUGGAAGAACACCAGUGGCGAAGGCGGCUGUCUGGUCUGCAACUGACGCUGAGGCUCGAAAGCAUGGGUAGCGAACAGGAUUAGAUACCCUGGUAGUCCAUGCCGUAAACGAUGAGUGCUAAGUGUUGGAGGGUUUCCGCCCUUCAGUGCUGCAGCUAACGCAUUAAGCACUCCGCCUGGGGAGUACGACCGCAAGGUUGAAACUCAAAGGAAUUGGACGGGGCCCGCACAAGCGGUGGAGCAUGUGGUUUAAUUCGAUGCUACGCGAAGAACCUUACCAGGUCUUGACAUCUUCUG
rnacentral:rRNA from 1 species